GACGAACGCUGGCGGCGUGCUUAACACAUGCAAGUCGAACGAUGAAGCCUUAGCUUGCUUUGGUGGAUUAGUGGCGAACGGGUGAGUAACACGUGAGCAACGUGCCCAGGACUCUGGAAUAACCGCGGGAAACCGUGGCUAAUACCGGAUAGGUGCCGAGGCCGCAUGGUCUUCGGUUGGAAAGUUUUUGCGGUUCUGGAUCGGCUCACGGCCUAUCAGCUUGUUGGUGGGGUAAUGGCCUACCAAGGCGACGACGGGUAGCCGGCCUGAGAGGGUGACCGGCCACACUGGGAUUGAGACACGGCCCAGACUCCUACGGGAGGCAGCAGUGGGGAAUAUUGCACAAUGGGCGCAAGCCUGAUGCAGCAACGCCGCGUGGGGGAUGACGGCCUUCGGGUUGUAAACCUCUUUUAGUAGGGAAGAAGCGCAAGUGACGGUACCUGCAGAAAAAGCACCGGCUAACUACGUG
rnacentral:rRNA from 1 species